GAACGAGAAAGCGGGGGCAACUCCGUGAGUAAAGUGGCGCACGGGUGAGUAACACGUAGCUAACCUACCCUCGAGCGGGGGAUAACCUGGGGAAACUCGGGCUAAUACCGCAUAACACCCCGGUGAUGCAAAUCGCUGGGGGCAAAGGCCCGCAAGGGUCACUUGAGGAGGGGGCUGCGGCCGAUUAGCUAGUUGGUGAGGUAACGGCCCACCAAGGCGAUGAUCGGUAGCCGGCCUGAGAGGGCGCACGGCCACACUGGCACUGAAACACGGGCCAGACUCCUACGGGAGGCAGCAGUGGGGAAUUUUGCACAAUGCCCGAAAGGGUGAUGCAGCAACGCCGCGUGAGGGAUGAAGGCCUUCGGGUCGUAAACCUCUUUCGAUCGGGAAAAACGGGCGCGUGAAGAGCGCGUUCUGAUGGUACCGGAUGAAGAAGCCCCGGCCAACUACGUG
rnacentral:rRNA from 1 species